UCUAAGGGUAAAUUGGGGAUCAAUUAAAAAUCAAAACCCUAAAACCCCAGUAUAAAUAGAUAAUACAUUUGGCCAAUGGAAAUCAAUUGAUAAUAUGUUAAGAUUCUCUCACCAAUUGAAAAAAAAGGAAAACAUAAAAAAUAUUAAAAGAACUCACUCGUACAUAAAUCAGUUGCGCCCCAUUUUAGAUUCUCAUCUCUCUCUCCAAUUGAAACCAAAAUUGAAAUGUAAAAAAUAGAAAAGAAAAAUGAAGAA
rnacentral:lncRNA from 1 species